CAGCACCUCAAGUGGUCAGGAUGAUUAUUGGGCCUAAAGCAUCCGUAGCCGGCUCUGUAAGUUUUCGGUUAAAUCUGUACGCUCAACGUACAGGCUGCCGGGAAUACUGCAGAGCUAGGGAGUGGGAGAGGUAGACGGUACUCGGUAGGAAGGUGUAAAAUCCUUUGAUCUAUUGAUGACCACCUGUGGCGAAGGCGGUCUACCAGAACACGUCCGACGGUGAGGGAUGAAGGCUGGGGGAGCAAACCGGAUUAGAUACCCGAGUAGUCC
rnacentral:rRNA from 1 species